GCAAUAGAAAACGAAUAUCACCUCAUUCCACUACUCCUCAUUCAGCCUCCUCUCGAAGGGUCAGUUAGUUGCACACUAAGGUGACCCUUAUAAACGUGCUAUCACGUCCAGGCAGGAAUGGUAAAGCCAGCCGAGGAAGCCGACUGGCUUUAGCAAGAUGGCAGCUCCAGGGACAGCACAUCGGCCUGAGAGAAACAAGAGCCUGGCUGGGAAGACUGCCGUCCUAGGCACCAUUUUGGCCCAUGAGAGCAUGGGCCACAUAGGAGGGAUAGUAAAAAGGGAAGCUGGAAGAGGCCCAAAUCCCUAAGGAUGUAACAGAAUACAGCCAUGUCCCCAUUCCUGGACCGCUUUCCUCUGGACUUAGAAGAUGACACACACCCUCCCUCAGCCCCGUGUUCUGCUGGAGAGAAUAAUCACCUCAGAGUAACAGUGCUUCCCUUUCACAUCCAGAUUCCUAUGAAAUGAGAAAAUGGGAGUCUCAACAAACUGGCACAGAGCCUAGGCAUCACCCAGUUCAACCAAGGGAGUUCAGCAAUGAAGACGCAAUGAGGACAGACCUGAUUUCGUAUGCCGGAGGAACGGAAGCAGGAUCUUUUUCUUCCUACCCUGAUGAACGUCAGAAUGUUGGCAAUGAAGUCACAGUUCUCCGAUGGACUCUGAUCUGCUCCGCUCUUUUUCUUCCUGUAGAAAGGGCAGUCCAGACCCUUUACCUCUAAGUCUCAUGUUUUCUCUAUUUAAAAAAAUCUUUGUCCCAGGCAUUCCUUCCAUCUACCCUUCCUAAACAUAGCCCACAUUUCCAUGUCUUUGCACAAGCUUCCCCCCACCGCCGCCUGCCAUGCCCUUCCCCUCACUUCCCCUCACAGGCUAACUCUUUCUUGCACAGAUGCCACCAUCUGCAGGAAGCCUUCCCAGCUCUCAGGAGGUCCCUCUCUUGUGUUCUCUCCUAGCACCCUUGGCAAGUAUCAGGCUGUCCCCACAUGAGAGAAUAGCUGCUUGACCAUCUCGACUCUCUGGUGACCAGCAAAGUGACCCAGCACACGAGAAACACCAGACCUCCAUAGGCACAGACUGAACGGCUUUCUGAGUUCCUUGUGGUCCACCCCUCCCCCCCGUCACACCCCAGCCACAUGCUCCACCUGCCAGAAGCACCCCUCCCUCUGGAGACCCACACGUUCUCCGCUUUCAACCUGCUGCUACAGCACCCUGUGCUGAAGGGGCCUCAGAACACAAGCCCAGCCCAGCAAAGCCCAAAGGGACAUGGUGUGCUCAAGUUAUUCAUUACUCAAGUUAGAGGAGGUCACAGAGCAGGAAGCACACUGGAAAGCAAGGUGAAAGGUGGCAUGGAGGGUGGGGGAUUAGUCAGGGUGACCUUCUAAGGGAAUUCAGAGCCUGGCAGGAGGGCGUAUCAGAGUGGGAAGGUCCUAGCAACAGCCCCAAGGUUAGACAAGGUCAAAUGGAAACUGCUAAUUAUAAUUAAGCUACCUACUUUAUAGCCCUUGUUAUGCACCAGGCACUGUGCUUAGUGCUUCCCACAACUACCAUUUAAUCCUUGCAACAAUGUAUCACUCCGAUUUUACAACUGAGAGAAUGGUCCUGCAGAGAACAAGUGACUUGCUCAAGGUCACACAGCUAGUGAGUACUGAAGCUGGGAGACCGAGUGCAGGUCUGUCUUGCCCUUCAUCAGGUUGCUCUUUUUGGUGACACGGUUAGAUGAGUGAAACAAUUCUAGAUGGUCUACAGUGGAAGGUGGAGUUUGAAUCUGGUUCCCAUAGAGAUCAUGCUCUCCAGGGGCAAUACCAGGUUUGGGUGGAAACAUGGAGGUUCUUUUAAGCCAAGGGGAGGUUGGUUUAGAAUGAGAUGCUAUUGUGAAGGCAUGACCCUCGAAGCUUGUCAGAACCCAGCAAGAGUUUACAUGCAGGGGAGGGAGAAUGAGCAAAGCUGGGGAGGUAAAAUUUGAGGGGGGGGUGUGUGUAUCCCCCAGAGGAAGAUAGCAGGUCAAGGACAACAGGAAAAGGUCAUCCUUGCCAGACACAGGAUCAGACCAAUUGGCAUUUGCCAUAGCUCUAGAGAGCUAGGGUAGGACACUGCUUUUUUAAGAAAAAAAGAUUUUUUUAAAAAAAACCUGGCAAUGCGAGCCUUUCUCUGCAUACUUUGUUGUACUACCUACUUCUACUGGAAAAGAGAGAAGGGGAGGGGAGAGAAAGAGAGAGGGGGAGAGAGAGAGGGAGGGGAA